UACAGAGGUCCCGAGCGUUGUUCGGAUUCACUGGGCGUAAAGGGUGCGUAGGCGGUCGGGUAAGUCUGAUGUGAAAUCUCACAGCUUAACUGUGAAACUGCAUUGGAUACUAUUCGGCUUGAGAGUUGGAGGGGGGACUGGAAUUCCUGGUGUAGCGGUGAAAUGCGCAGAUAUCAGGAGGAACACCAAUGGCGAAGGCAGCUCGCUGGGACGGUACUGACGCUGAGACGCGAAAGCGUGGGGAGCAAACAGG
rnacentral:rRNA from 1 species